rnacentral:rRNA from 1 species
AACGAACGCUGGCGGCAGGCCUAACACAUGCAAGUCGAGCGCUACCUUCGGGUGGAGCGGCGGACGGGUUAGUAACGCGUGGGAAUAUACCCAGUUCUAAGGAAUAGCCACUGGAAACGGUGAGUAAUACCUUAUACGCCCUUUGGGGGAAAGAUUUAUCGGAGAAGGAUUAGCCCGCGUUAGAUUAGGUAGUUGGUGGGGUAAUGGCCUACCAAGCCUACGAUCUAUAGCUGGUUUGAGAGGAUGAUCAGCCACACUGGGACUGAGACACGGCCCAGACUCCUACGGGAGGCAGCAGUGGGGAAUCUUGCACAAUGGGGGAAACCCUGAUGCAGCGAUGCCGCGUGAGUGAAGAAGGCCCUUGGGUUGUAAAGCUCUUUCGUCGGGGAAGAAAAUGACUGUACCCGAAUAAGAAGGUCCGGCUAACUUCGUG